AUUGAACGCUGGCGGCAUGCCUUACACAUGCAAGUCGAACGGUAACGGGCCUUCGGGUGCCGACGAGUGGCGAACGGGUGAGUAAUACAUCGGAACGUGCCCGAUCGUGGGGGAUAACGAGGCGAAAGCUUUGCUAAUACCGCAUACGAUCUACGGAUGAAAUCAGGGGACCGCAAGGCCUUGCGCGGACGGAGCGGCCGAGGGCAGCUUAGGUAGUUGGUGGGAUAAAAGCUUACCAAGCCGACGAUCUGUAACUGUUCUGGGGGGAGGAUCAGCACACUGGGACUGAGACACGGCCCAGACUCCUACGGGAGGCAGCAGUGGGGAAUGUUGGACAAUGGGCGCAAGCCUGAUCCAGCCAUGCCGCGUGCAGGAUGAAGGCCUUCGGGUUGUAAACUGCUUUUGUACGGAACGAAAAGCCUUCUUUUAAUACAGGAGGGUCAUGACGGUACCGUAAGAAUAAGCACCGGCUAACUACGUG
rnacentral:rRNA from 1 species